rnacentral:rRNA from 1 species
AGGGAAUCUUCCACAAUGGGCGCAAGCCUGAUGGAGCAACACCGCGUGAGUGAAGAAGGGUUUCAGCUCGUAAAGCUCUGUUGUUAAAGAAGAACACGUAUGAGAGUAACUGUUCAUACGUUGACGGUAUUUAACCAGAAAGUCACGGCUAACUACGUGCCAGCAGCCGCGGUAAUACGUAGGUGGCAAGCGUUAUCCGGAUUUAUUGGGCGUAAAGAGAGUGCAGGCGGUUUUCUAAGUCUGAUGUGAAAGCCUUCGGCUUAACCGGAGAAGUGCAUCGGAAACUGGAUAACUUGAGUGCAGAAGAGGGUAGUGGAACUCCAUGUGUAGCGGUGGAAUGCGUAGAUAUAUGGAAGAACACCAGUGGCGAAGGCGGCUACCUGGUCUGCAACUGACGCUGAGACUCGAAAGCAUGGGUAGCGAACAGGAUUAGAUACCCUGGUAGUCCAUGCCGUAAACGAUGAGUGCUAGGUGUUGGAGGGUUUCCGCCCUUCAGUGCCGGAGCUAACGCAUUAAGCACUCCGCCUGGGGAGUACGACCGCAAGGUUGAAAC